CGUGAGCAAUCUGCCUUUGGAUGGGGGAUAACAGCCGGAAACGACUGCUAAUACCGCAUAAUGCAGCAGGACCGCAUGAUUUUGCUGCCAAAGAUUUAUCGUCCAAAGAUGAGCUCGCGUCUGAUUAGCCAGUUGGCGGGGUAACGGCCCACCAAAGCGACGAUCAGUAGCCGGACUGAGAGGUUGAACGGCCACAUUGGGACUGAGACACGGCCCAGAUUCCUACGGGAGGCAGCAG
rnacentral:rRNA from 1 species